rnacentral:lncRNA from 1 species
CAGGGAAGUAAAAAGAGCCGGAAUUACAAACCAGGGCAGCCUUCCUGGGAAGCCCACACUCCUAGCCGCCUACCACAGCUAGCUGUUAGAAGCCAACCUUUCAAAAUGGCUUAAACUGGGGCCAGGGCGAGUCUAGAACUAUUGAAAAGUUUGACUCUCCUGGCAUCAGAUGGACGGAGGUCAGAAAAUAGACACUUUCUUUAAAGAAUGUGUAUUUAGAAGAAGAUUUUAAAUAAGCCAGAAGAACUUGCUCUUUAAAGUAAUACAGUAAAUACUUCAUUUAUAAGGCAACGAGUGUGUGUGUGUAUGUACCCAUUUUUAUUUGGGCAAAUUUGGAGUUCUUGAUAUUCAGUUUGGAUUGGUACAUACAACACACUCCUACAAAAUACAUUCCAGAAUUGAGCAGUAGGAAAAUAUGGAAAAACAAGAUUAAAGGACCAUAGUAGAUUUAUUAGGAAACAGAGAAUAUCUUAUUUAAAAAGAGUAAAUGAAGUAGGAGAAAGCUCAAAUAUUACCCAUGAAUAAAAAACAGGAAAGCUACUUAAAAAGGUCUCUAUACAAAAUGCACAAGGAAAUCCGAUGAAGACAGUUACUCUGAAAGGGACAAAGUGAAUUAUUCUCCAUAGACAAUUAAACCAGGUAGUUUUGCUGCGUAGCCCAUCCAACCAGACAUCCUGUCCACUAGUCCAAUGGCUUUGGGGUACGUGAGACCGCCUGGGUUCUGAGAAGUGGAGAUCUUCUGAAUUCUAAGAAUUCUUAGCAUGGAAAACAAGUGAACAGGUGAAGCUGUGCAUGGAAGGGAGGGGGCUGGAACACGAAACUGCCUGUGUUUCAACCUGCCACUGACGCUCUCUAGCAACGCGACCUUGGCUACAUCUUCCUGCUCCACUCCCUGGGGAAUGUGGGCAUCCUGUCUCCGGUCACCCGUCAUAUCAGAGAACUCAGGAAGUGCGGUUUAUAAAUAUCUCCAGGUGAGUUCAAGUGGGACAGAAUCUCAGAGGCUGCAUUUUGCACCGUUUCUCAUUUUGUGCCAUUGAAUUACUGGGUUGAGUUCAUCUAAAUUGCCAAGUCAGAAAAAAGAGGAGCUGAAUUCACAAUCUGUUACUGUUGCCAGAAAGAAGACAGGCUGCCUAGUUAAAUUUCAAUUUCAG